rnacentral:rRNA from 1 species
UGGGGAAUAUUGCACAAUGGGGGAAACCCUGAUGCAGCGACGCCGCGUGAGCGAAGAAGGCUUUCGAGUCGUAAAGCUCUGUCCUAUGAGAAGAUAAUGACGGUAUCAUAGGAGGAAGCCCUGGCUAAAUACGUGCCAGCAGCCGCGGUAAUACGUAUGGGGCGAGCGUUGUCCGGAAUUAUUGGGCGUAAAGGGUACGUAGGUGGUUUUUUAAGUCAGGUGUCAAAGCGUGGAGCUUAACUCCAUUAAGCACUUGAAACUGAAAGACUUGAGUGAAGGAGAGGAAAGUGGAAUUCCUAGUGUAGCGGUGAAAUGCGUAGAUAUUAGGAGGAACACCAGUGGCGAAGGCGGCUCACUGGACCAUUACUGACGCUGAGGUGCGAAAGCGUGGGGAGCAAACAGG